GAUAAGAUUUCCCACCGCAAGGGUAAGACCCCAGAAAGACUAUCUGGUUGAUAGGUCGAAGGUGUAAGUGCAGCAAUGUAUUUAGCUUAUCGAUACUAAUAGGUCGAGGACUUGACCAAUAUUUAUU
rnacentral:rRNA from 1 species